rnacentral:rRNA from 1 species
AGGAUGAACGCUGGCGGCGUGCCUAACACAUGCAAGUCGAACGUCCUGUCUCGCAAGAGGCAGGGAGUGGCGGACGGGUGAGUACCACGUGGGUUAUCUACCGUGAGGUGAGGAAUACCGGCGAGAAAUCGCCGACAAAACCGCAUAGGCUCGAUGCAAGUCGAGCAAAGCUUUCUCGCAAGAGGGAGCGCCACACGAGGAGCCUGCGCCCGAUUAGCUGGCUGGUGGAGUAACGGUUCACCAGGGCGACGAUCGGUAGCUGGUCUGAGAGGACGAUCAGCCACACUGGGAUUGAGAACGGCCCAGACUCCUACGGGGGGCAGCAGUGAGGAAUUUUCGUCAAUGGGGGCAACCCUGAACGAGCAACGCCGCGUGCAGGAAGAAGGUUUUCGGAUCGUAAACUGCUUUUCUCGGGGAAGAGAACGGACGGUACCCGAGGAAUCAGCCCCGGCUAACUACGUGCCAGCAGCCGCGGUAA